GAUGAAGAACGUAGCGAAAUGCGAUAAGUAAUGUGAAUUGCAGAAUUCAGUGAAUCAUCGAGUCUUUGAACGCACAUUGCGCCCUCUGGUAUUCCGGAGGGCAUGCCUGUCCGAGCGUCAUUGCUGCCCUCAAGCACGGCUUGUGUGUUGGGCUCCGUCCUCCUUCCGGGGGACGGGCCCGAAAGGCAGCGGCGGCACCGCGUCCGGUCCUCAAGCGUAUGGGGCUUUGUCACCCGCUUUGUAGGACUGGCCGGCGCCUGCCGAUCAACCAAACUUUUUUCCAGGUUGACCUCGGAUCAGGUAGGGAUACCCGCUGAACUUAAGCAUAUCAAUAAGCGGAGGA
rnacentral:misc_RNA from 1 species